rnacentral:lncRNA from 1 species
UCUCUCUAAACUCUCUCUCUCUAAAUUCUCUCUACACUCUCAGUCAAGGGAAAAUGAGGAAAAAAUAAAAGGAAUUGGAGAGAAGAGUGAACGGGGAAGGCUUUAAAUAGCCAUAAAGAAAGGAUGUGCGCCACGUUACGACAUGCACGACUGACAUAUGGCAAUUGAUUGAGGGAUCUAACCGACAACGAACGUUGACCGAGGAGAAGGUUGCAGGUGGCAUGACGGCU